rnacentral:rRNA from 1 species
GACGAACGCUGGCGGCGUGCUUAACACAUGCAAGUCGAGCGAUGAAGCACCUUCGGGUGUGAAUUAGCGGCGAACGGGUGAGGAACACGUGAGAAAUCUGCCGUCAACACUGGGAUAACUCCGGGAAACUGGGGCUAAUACCGGAUAUGAAACCUGCGGGCAUCCGCGGGUUUGGAAAGUUUUUCGGUUGAAGAUGAUCCCGCGGCCUAGCAGCUUGUUGGUGAGGGAAUGGCUCACCAAGGGGACGGCGGGUAGCCGGCCUGAGAGGGCGACCGGCCACACUGGGACUGAGACACGGCCCAGACUCCUACGGGAGGCAGCAGUGGGGAAUAUUGGGCAAUGGAGGAAACUCUGACCCAGCGACGCCGCGUGCGGGAUGAAGGCCUUCGGGUUGUAAACCGCUUUCAGCAGGGAAGAAGCGAAAGUGACGGUACCUGCAGAAGAAGCACCGGCUAACUAUGUGCCAGCCGCCGCAGUAA